AGUUGUACCGUGGUUUCCUGGGGCGGGAAGGAGAAGGGGCUCUCCGGCUGUGGAGGAGACUUGUUUUUUCCCUUUCAAGGUUCGCCGAGGAAAGUCUCACUUAGAGGAGCGGCGGCGGAAAGAAAGUGGCACUUACAGCUCUGGUUCCCCGCCACGCUCACGGUGAGGAUCCAUGGGGAAAGUCAGUCGGGGCUUAUCUCUGCUGAAGGACAGCGGGGUGGAGAAGUUUCAGCCAAAUCAGGUGGAAAAAGCAUCGGGAAAAUGGGGAAAAUGAGGUGCAGAUCCAGACACACCGGUUUUUUAGGAGGGCGGAAUGGGGAGCAGAGUGGUGUUUUGCAGCUGAGAAGCUGAUGCCUCCCACCCACCCAAAGCCUUCACCAAUGCUCCUUUGCUUCAAAACCCACGGAAUUAAGUUUGGAGAAGACCUUGCUGGGUCCCUGCUGGGUUUGAAGGAGCUCAGUGCAGGGGUCUCCUCCUUGAUCACCACAACACAUCACACAGGAACACAUACAGAGGGUCUGCAGCCUCUUCCUCAGCAUGGAUUUGGUUUUAGGCACAGGCAGAAUCAUCUCCAAAAGCUCCCAGGCUGGACUCAGCAGCUCCCUGGAUGCUGCAGAGCCUGUUGGAGAGCAGCUGUGAGAUGCUGAGUGCUCCCAUCUGUGGGGUUUCUGCAUCACCUGGACAAGGAAGGGUUUUCCAGUGGGGAAGAAAGGCAUGGAGCAUCCAUCAGAACCCCGGGAGCAGCACGGGCAGGAGACCAACAGGCUGCUUGCCGAGCCUUCCGAUAAUUUUCCCACUCCCACUAAAAAAGUACAAUAUAUUGUCUGUUUGGGAGCAGUUUAAGUUGCUUCAUUUCACACAGUAAAUUAAGCUGAUUUCUUUAAUAGGGGAUUUUUAUUUGGUGUCAAGCCCCAACUGUUAUCCCAAACCCUGGGACUCCAGCUACUAAACCUUCUCCCAGGAUACGGAGCCGAAAGCGCUGCUGGGUUUGGUGACACUCAGAAAUAAAUGGCUCAUUCCUCAACGCCCCAGCUAUUUACUGCUGCCACCUGACCCAAGAGAUUUCUUCAAGCAAAACUGCUUUUUAGAUUUUCCCAAUGGAAAACAAGGCACUGGGAGCCCUCCCAGAGCACAGACCCUUCCCCAGCUCCUGCAGGGCAUGUAAAUUCAUUCUAGGGUGGGAUAAAACACUAAAAAAACCCUCAAAACCCUGGCCAGGGAGAAUAUCAAGCUUUUGUCUUCUGGCAGAGCUUGGUCUUGACUUUCUUUCAGACUGAAGUCCAGAUGGGAGCUCAGCUCCUGGUCUGGAAACUGCUCCUCUUUGUGACAAGAAUGAAGCUCAGGAUGUGGCCAAGCUGAUUCCAGCUGGGCAAAUAUUUGCCCCCUCCACUCCCUGCUGUGGCUACUGGGGCUUCACAGCAUUUAAUGGGACCAGAACCAGUGGCCAAGCAGGGAGGUCUCUGGCCCUUGCUCUGCCAGCAGGAUGUCAUCACCUCUUGAGACUAAAAAACACCCCUGAGAUUUUCAAUUCCCGAGAGGUGAAGAGCAGCUCCCAGGGAGUGGGGAUGUGGUCAUUUAUUUCACUUAAAUGAAAAAAACCAGCAAAGUGCCAAUCCUGGCUCCGAGCAGACACUGCCUGCAAGGCAGAGCCCAGCCCUGCUGGCAAAAUUCCCCUGCUCCAUGGAAUCCAGCUGCCCUCCUGCCCCACUCCCUCCUCCUCAGCGCUUCCCAUCGCUCUGCUGGAUCCACGCCUGGUUAAGCAGGUGACAAAUGCCCCCAGUUCAUUUUCUCCUCUCCCCUAUCUGGGGUGCUGCUGACAUUUUGAUAUUUCCCUCUGAGAUUAUCCUUCACAUAAUGAAUUUUCUCCCCGACCCCUCCUUUUUUUUUUUCCCUCCUGUGCCUUUUGGCUUUGCCAACACACUCUCUCUCUCUCUCUCCUCUGCCGACUCCGGGAGCACGCCCGCCACAAGAUGAAUCGCCCGGAGACUCCUGGUGCAUCCUUCUUUACACUUCACAUCUUCCCCCCGCCGAUGAGAAAUGGGAUUUUUCCUCAUCCAUCAUAAGUCAGCGUGACAGGGCUGUCGUUCUCCGGCCCCGCGUCGCUGUAUCCUGAGCCUCUCCGUCCCGCCUGGCUGAGCAGCCCCGCUUCCCUGCCAGCAGCUGGGACCUUUCCGAAGUGCUUUCGCUUGUAUCGGGAAUCUGGGCACUGAGAAAAAGUUAUUUCGGAGCUCUUCCAGCCUCCAAACCUGUCUCUGGGGCUGUGCCCCACUAACAGAGGUGUUAAUGCUAAGGAGGAGUCCUGGGAGGGACUUGGAAGGGGACUUCGUGACUCCCACGAGGUCUGGCUGUGAGCCAGGACUGGCUACCCACAGAACCUGCCUUUGUAUCCCACUUGUCAAGAAGCAAACUCCAAACCUGAGCAAUGGCAUCGAAACCAAAGGAAUAAAAAGGGAAAGAUCUUUCUGCCCCAAAAGGAGAAUCCCAGUUGCCCAAUUCCUUAUUCAACUUCCUGCAUCGUGCUGACUCAGCAUUACAGUGAGGAGGAAACCUCUCUCCCAUCUCCCAGGUCGUGGAUACCCCCAGGGAAAACUGUGCAGCCACUUCAUGUCACUUCUGGGCACUGGGCAGUGUCACAGGGGGAGAGGAGCCUCUUGCAACGAUGGAGUAAACCUGGAGUAAAUAGUGGCCAUCCAACAUCACGUGUCUGCAGCCCAGAUCUCCAACUGCCAAUACUUCAAAGUUAAAAAGGCAAGAUAGAUAUAUAUAUAUAUAAUUUUUUUUUAAGUCUCAGGCUCAUUAGUCCAGUUCAAGCUGUGUUGCUCCACUAGAAAGGCUCUGAUGAUGCCAGUUUUAUUCCCUACUGGAAUAAAAUUUUUCCCCUUUAACUUUUGCGAGUUAAAGUUUUCAAAGAGACCUGCUCAAAACUCGCCUUCUGGAAAUCCAUAUUAACUAAUUCCAUGCAAACCUGCGGAAAGCGCUCCCACUAUUGCUGAUCCCAAACCUGCAGCAGGAGUUUAGUCCUUCAAAACCAGAUUGGAAAAGACCAGGAUGGCUUUUUCACCUUUCUAACCUAAAGGCUGCUUUUGGUCCCUGCUUUUGAGUGGUUUCUUGCCUCGAGGGAAGAGGAGGUUUCUCCCUGGCAUUCCAAAAUCCUACCUAUGAUUGCAGAGGCCGGACACUUGGAGACAGUGGGAGAGAAAUCCGAGUGUCUGCAUUUUGAUGUGGCAACACCUGCUGAAUGUAAACUGCAAAAUAAUUGGGGACUAGAGAUGCUCGUGGCUGUUUGGAAUAGCAGGAUGAAAGGAUAA